ACAUAAGAGCGGUGGAAACUGCCAAACUAGAGAUCGGUAGGGGCAGCAGGAAUUCCCGGUGUAGCGGUGAAAUGCGUAGAGAUCGGGAAGAACACCGGUGGCGAAAGCGUUCUACUGGGUCGUAUCUGACACUCAGGGACGAAAGCUAGGGGAGCGAAAGGGAUUAGAUACCCCWGUAGUCCUAGCCGUAAACGAUGGAUACUAGGCGUAGCU
rnacentral:rRNA from 1 species